GAUGAACGCUGGCGGCGUGCCUAAUACAUGCAAGUCGAGCGAACGGACGAGAAGCUUGCUUUUCUGAUGUUAGCGGCGGACGGGUGAGUAACACGUGGAUAACCUACCUAUAAGACUGGGAUAACUUCGGGAAACCGGAGCUAAUACCGGAUAAUAUUUUGAACCGCAUGGUUCAAAAGUGAAAGACGGUCUUGCUGUCACUUAUAGAUGGAUCCGCGCUGCAUUAGCUAGUUGGUAAGGUAACGGCUUACCAAGGCAACGAUGCAUAGCCGACCUGAGAGGGUGAUCGAGCACACUGGAACUGGGACACGGUCCAGAGUCCUACGGGAGGCAGCAGUAGGGAAUCUUCCGCAAUGGGGGAAAGCCUGACGGAGCAACGCCGCGUGAGUGAUGAAGGUCUUCGGAUCGUAAGACUCUGUUAUUAGGGAAGAACAGAUGUGUAAGUAGCUGUGCACAUAUUGACGGUACCUGAUCAGAAAGCCACGGCUAACUACGUG
rnacentral:rRNA from 1 species